rfam:Beta vulgaris subsp. vulgaris 0334.scaffold00822.con0003.1, whole genome shotgun sequence.
AGGAGAUAUGAUGAUGAAAUUUACCCAUUAUUGUUUUUCCUGAAUCAUUGUUGAUGAAUCACUUUUCAACAUGCACUACCAUCUGAUCUCCC